UACGAAGGGGGCUAGCGUUGUUCGGAAUUACUGGGCGUAAAGCGCGCGCAGGCGGCUAUCCAAGUCAGUGGUGAAAGCCCGGAGCUCAACUCCGGAACUGCCAUUGAAACUGUUUAGCUUGAGGACGAGAGAGGUGAGUGGAAUUCCCAGUGUAGAGGUGAAAUUCGUAGAUAUUUGGGGAAGAACACCGGUGGCGAAGGCGGCUCACUGGCUCGUAUCUGACGCUCAGGCGCGACAGCGUGGGGGAUCAAACAGG
rnacentral:rRNA from 1 species